GACGAACGCUGGCGGCGUGCUUAACACAUGCAAGUCGAACGCUGAAGCUCAGCUUUUGUUGGGUGGAUGAGUGGCGAACGGGUGAGUAACACGUGAGUAACCUGCCUCCUUCUUUGGGAUAACGCCCGGAAACGGGCGCUAAUACUGGAUAUUCACUGGUCUUCGCAUGGGGGUUGGUGGAGAGGGUUUUUCUGGCGGGGGAUGGGCUCGCGGCCUAUCAGCUUGUUGGUGGGGUGAUGGCCUACCAAGGCUUUGACGGGUAGCCGGCCUGAGAGGGUGACCGGUCACAUUGGGACUGAGAUACGGCCCAGACUCCUACGGGAGGCAGCAGUGGGGAAUAUUGCACAAUGGGCGCAAGCCUGAUGCAGCGACGCCGCGUGAGGGAUGGAGGCCUUCGGGUUGUGAACCUCUUUCGCUCAUGGUCAAGCCGCAACAAUGGUUGUGGUGAGGGUAGUGGGUAAAGAAGCGCCGGCUAACUACGUG
rnacentral:rRNA from 1 species